rfam:Lasius niger Lnig_2.1_10239, whole genome shotgun sequence.
CGAGCCGAGUCUGUGGUUGGCCUACAUCAUGACCGGGCAUGGGAGUUUGAAUGGAUUCCUGUAUGACCGUGGUUUGUCUGAGUAUAAAAGUUGUGCAUGUGGAGCAGAGUGUAAGGAUUGGAAGUAUGUGUAGGUUGAGUGUCUGUUGUAGUUUGAGUGUCUGAAGAUGUGAGAAACUUGUGUGAAUGGGGAGUGACUGUGCGGGAAAAUGGUAGUGUGGAUGUGGGGCAGAUGUUGGAGUGUAAGGAAAGGUAUGAAUGUGUGAGAGAGUAUGCGAAAUGUGUAUUGCAGAGGAGAAGAGACCGGAGGUGAAUUGAGACAUGCGGAGGUUCCUGAGGAGCGGUCGACCAAUGCCGGAUGUUGUAGGGAUCCCAAAUUGGUAGUGGCCUCGGUCACGAAGAUCCGACCAGUGAUCUUGAUUGGUACCACGAAAGCUGGGUUGCCCCGGGGAAUUCGUCCCCCGUCCUAGCAAUUGACGUUGGACUCGUGGUGGUAGUGAUUUAAAGCCGCAUGCUGGCUAGGGGUUCUCGGAUCUUGACGUGUGAGCUGCGUGACAGCUCGGGGACCAGCCUGCACAGCUGGUAGAGCCUGGACAGUCGCUCGCCCCAACCAGUGGGUUGUCGCCGGGUCCUUAUAACCUAGCGACGUACUGGUAGUCCCUGCCUCGGCGGGGAUGCGCUGAUUGAGCGUAUCUCAAUCCCUCACCCAUGGGGGCCGUGUGGGUUAGGCUCUUGGAGCAAGCACUGCACGUUAAACUCUGACAACAUACUUCUCGCCGUCCCAGGUCCUGGCCCGCUGUGGGCUACAGUACGGUUCACUUUCGACAGGCCUGCGAACGUCUCCUGCGUAUUUUCGCGGGAGAUCGAUACCGGUCGGCUACGCUACUGCUUUGGGUACUCUUAGGACCUGUCUUGAAACAUGGAGCAAGGAGGAAUGGCCCUGGCCAUUGUCCGAGGGAGGAUGGACCGCGUGGCUAUGCGGCAUCGCACUCCCGGGACGUCUCAUUCUCAUCGCAAGAAGAAGCGCACCCAGAGCGUACACGUUGGGACCCGAAAGAUGGUGAACUAUGCCUGGUCAGGACAAAAUCAGGGGAAACCCUGAUGGAGGUCCGUAGCGAUUCUGACGUGCAAAUCGAUUGUCGGAACUGUGUAUAUGAGCAAAAAGACUAAUCGAACCACUUAGUAACUGGUUUCCUCCGAAGUUUUUUUCAGGAUAGCAGGCACUCGGCCGUUCUGCACGGAACGCGUGCAAGUCUCAUCUGGUAAAGCAAAUGAUUAGAGGCCUUGGGGCCAAAACUACCUCAACCUAUUCUCAAACUAUAAAUGGGUGAGAUCUCUGGCUUUCUCGAACUAUGAAGUCACGAGCAUUUUGAAUCAGAAUGCGAAGUAAUUCAUUUUUGGUAAGCAAAACUGGUGCUGUGGGAUGAGCCAAACGCAGAGUUAAGGCGCCUUACGCGACGCUCAUAGGACACCAUGAGAGGCGUUGGUUGCUUAAGACAACAGGACAGUGGCCAUAAGAGUCGGAAUCCGCUAAGUAGUGUGUAUCAACUCACCUGCCGAAACAACUAGCCCUAAAAAUGGAUGGCGCUAAAGCGUCAAGCCUAUACUCUGCCGUCAGCGGUAAGCGGGGCGGCAAACGAGAGCGGGCGCGCAAGCGUCCGUCUCUCUAGCGUCGUCACGAAGCCCUGACGUGUAAGAGGGCCGCGACGGUGAGCGUAGAAGGGUCUGGGCGUGAGCUUGCCUGGGGCCGCCGUCGGUGCAGAUCUUGGUGGUAGUAGCAAAUACUCCAGCGAGGCCCUGGAGAACUGACGUGGAGAAGGAUUUCGUGUGAACAGCCGUUGUACGCGAGUCAAUCAAACCUAUGCCCUAGGAGAAAUCCUAUGUUAAUGACGGCGUACAAUAUACUUGAGUGACAUAAGACACACGCCCGUCGGGCGAAAGGGAAUCCGUUCCUAUUUCGGAACUCGGCAGCGGAACUGCAUACAAUUCGGGCCCUCGUAAGAGUGUUCGGCGGGGUAACCCAAAAUGACCUGAAGACGCCGUCGGGAGAUCCGGGAAGAAUUAUAUUUUCUGUAUAAGCGUUCCAGUUCCCUGGAAACCUCUAGCAGGGAGAUAGAGUUUAAAACGCGAAGAGCAUCGCAGUUGGGGUGGUGUGUGGAUCUUCCCCUCGGACCUUGAAAAUUUUAGAGAGGGCCACGUAGAGGUGUCACACCGGUUCGUACCCAUAUCCGCAGCAGGUCUCCAAGGUAAAGAGCCCUAGUCGAUAGAAUAAUGUAGGUAAGGGAAGUCGGCAAAUUGGAUCCCUAACUUCGGAAUAAGGAUUGGCUUUGGUGACGAGGCGUGUCGAGCUUGAUCGGGAAGCGGGUCUGGCUGACGUACCGAGCCUGAGCGAGGUGAACAGUCGGCGUUCUCGCGCCGGUCCCGGGAUCCGAGCUCGGUCCCGUCCUCCCGCGGAUCUUCUUUGCUGCGAGGGUUCCAUGGCGACGCGUGCCGUCGUGGUCGUCCUCUUUGGCCGCCAUUCAACGCUCAGCUCAGAACUGGCACGGACUAGAGAAAUCCGACUGUCUAAUUAAAACAAAGCAUUGCAAUGGCCCUCGCGUGUGUUGACGCAAUGUAAUUUUUGCCCAGUGCUCUGAAUGUCAACAUAAAGAAAUUCAAGCAAGCACGGGUAAACGGCGGGAGUAACUAUGACUCUCUUGUCAUGGUCGAACGUGUUUAAAAUUUCUCCGUGUUUGGAGGCAGUUAUUAGUAAUAAAUAGUGAGAUAUUAAUUGCAUAUUUGUGACUGGUGAACGCAGUUUCGGUCCAGCUUCACGCUGUGGUGUGUUUUGUGCGCGGUAACUGCGAUUAUUCGCGGUUUUUCGCUUUAAAACUGUCGCUCGUGUUAUCCGCCGUAUGACAUUUGUAACAUUGCUUCUCUCGCGAGUUCGGCUCGGAAUGGCUCAGCUAGGCUCAGGGCUCGUGAAAGGGUAUCGAGACAGCAGACGUGAUAUUAAAGUAAACGAAUUAUUUAUUUAAAGAUACGUGAAUGCAUGUAUAAGAAUGAAGUGAACACUGUAUGUGUACGGCGAAUGCGUGUGAACGAUGUGUGUAGAUGUACAAUGUCUGUGAGUGGUAAAUGUAUGUGUACGGCGAAUACGUGCGAACGAUACGUGUAUAUUAGAGUGGUCCUUAUUUUUCAACUUCGUUUCUUUAAAGGUCUCACCCCCUAAGUGUUUUCCAACUUACCUAAAACUAACGCCAGAAAAUAUUCGGGUCAUUCACAUAAUUAUAACUGGUGCCCCAGAGGCUGUGAACGUCGUCAUUUAUAUAAAAAAUUACUAUUUUUUCACAAAUAACCCAUACACACUAUAAAACUAUUAAAUACGAUAUUAUGCACGUAAAUAAUACCAAAUAUAUACUAAAACAGAGUUUUAAAUAGCUCGCCAACACGUAGGAGUCACGAUAAGAAGCGCAGGGCGCGCAGA